rnacentral:rRNA from 1 species
AGUCGACGAACACUUGAAUGGAAUUCUUCGGAAGGAAGCUCAAGUGACUGAGUGGCGGACGGGUGAGUAACGCGUGGGUAACCUGCCUCAUACAGGGGGAUAACAGUUAGAAAUGACUGCUAAUACCGCAUAAGCACACGUGAUCGCAUGAUCGAGUGUGAAAAACUCCGGUGGUAUGAGAUGGACCCGCGUCUGAUUAGCUAGUUGGUGGGGUAACGGCCCACCAAGGCGACGAUCAGUAGCCGGCCUGAGAGGGUGAACGGCCACAUUGGGACUGAGACACGGCCCAAACUCCUACGGGAGGCAGCAGUGGGGAAUAUUGCACAAUGGGGGAAACCCUGAUGCAGCGACGCCGCGUGAAGGAUGAAGUAUUUCGGUAUGUAAACUUCUAUCAGCAGGGAAGAAAAUGACGGUACCUGACUAAGAAGCCCCGGCUAACUACGUGCCAGCAGCCGCGGUAAUACGUAGGGGGCAAGCGUUAUCCGGAUUUACUGGGUGUAAAGGGAGCGUAGACGGCAGUGCAAGUCUGAAGUGAAAGCCCGGGGCUCAACCCCGGGACUGCUUUGGAAACUGUGCAGCUAGAGUGUCGGAGAGGCAAGCGGAAUUCCUAGUGUAGCGGUGAAAUGCGUAGAUAUUAGGAGGAACACCAGUGGCGAAGGCGGCUUACUGGACGGUAACUGACGUUGAGGCUCGAAAGCGUGGGGAGCAAACAGGAUUAGAUACCCUGGUAGUCCACGCCGUANACGAUGACUACUAGGUNUCGGGC